AAAAAAAAUGGCGCACAAGGGAAUCGAACUCACUACCACUGUCUAAGACUAAAGCAGUCCAACCACUGCCCUAGGCACUUGUUUGUGUUUAGGGGGCACCAAAAUGCCUUCUAAAUAAAACAUUUCUAUAUCGGAAAAAAUAUGGUGUGCCCAGAUGUCGAUCCCAAGACCUCAGCAAUGGGCUGAGCUCGGGUUACCACUGGUGCAUUGGACUGGUUGUGGUACGUACUGGCAUUAAGUUCUAUCUGUACAAUAUUAGUCCACGUGGAUAGGGAUGAAGAACAUAUGCAUAGUUCGUCUUUUCUUUUUAAUCUACAUUUAAAAUCUGUAAUCGGUAUUUCUACCUCAUUAAAACUCCAAAUUUGAUAUUUCUUUUUUCUGAUUUUUUCUAAAAUCACGUUCUUUCAUUUUAUAGUAUUUAUUUGUAUGUUAAUUACUAUUAUUAUAAUUUUUACAUGUGAUUUGUUUUCUUCCACCCUAGUAGAGAAUAGAAAAAUAUGUUUUUGUAGAAAAAUUUGUAACGUAACUUCAUAUUUUAUAAUAUUAUGGCGAAAAUAAGGUUGUAUCCAAAUUCGAGGUGCAUACGAGUUCAAAAAUAUAAUGAGUUACUCAAAUCUCAAAGUUUCACUUGAGUUUUACAAAACUAUAUGAGAGAUAAUCCUUUUAUGAACAAUGUAUGAUCCAACUUUACUAAAACUAUUUAAAACUUUUAUGUAAAGAUUAUGGACCAAAAAUAUGUUAUCAUGUCAACUUUUAGAAUUUGUUGACCAAAUUUAGAUAUUAUUGCAAUUAUUAUGUGGUAAUUUGGAGAAAAAAGUUUGAAUUGUCCAUAGAAGAUAAUUGAAUUUGUUAUCUAUCUCUAAAGAUAUGGACUAGAAUAGAACAUAUGAGCCUAAAUAUAAUUUUGUACAAUUUUUGUAAUUUUUUUGGUGGUGCACAUAGCUCAACUUGAAAUUACUUUUGAAAAGCACACAGAAAUUCAUUUAAUUGACAAUAUAUACCAAAUCUGUUCAAAAAUUCUUGAAACUCCUGUAUAACAAUUUAUAUGUUUUCUAUUACAUGCAAAAAAAUCUAUUUGGGUAUAUAAGAAUAUAUUACAUGUAACAAAACUCACAAGGCAACCUUAAUUAGUUGAAAAUUGAAAAGAAUAUUAAAAUGUAAUGGGCCACGACAACCUCAAAUCAGUCCAAAUCAUUAAAUCAAAGGCCCAACUCGACAUUGCCUUAAUCUAAACUAUCGGAUCAGAGUGGACAGCUGAGAUGCAUCUGAUAUCAGAUAAAUAUCGGGUCAUUCCCGGCUCUCCGACGCAAACCCUAACCCUUAACCCCUCCCUCAGAUCCGCCGCGCCUUCCCUUACAGUCGUCCCGCCUCCCUUCCUCUUCGUGGCCGGCCCCCGCCACCGGCGGCGCCCCCCUCCACUGCUCCUCGCGUCCCCGCCUCCUACCCCGGCACCACGCGUCCCCAACUCCUACCCCGGCUGGCCCAUGGUGAAGGGGCGCAUGACACCGGCCUCGCGAAGCCCCGAGCCCGGCAUGGAGGCGGCACGCUGGUGCCGCUCGGAGCAGCACCGCGCCGCGGCGAGCUGCUGCUGCGGUCGAUAGAUUCGGGGGCACUGUCGAUGGAUCCGAGCUGCUACCGGGCAAGGCCUCGUCGGGCGGGUCGCCGCUGCACAUGGCCGCAUCACCACCCGCGCCUGCCGCUGCUCCUUCUCCAAUCCAGCGGCAGGAAUGGAUCCAGGGGCUCCAGGCCUGCUACUAGCGGCGGCAGGAGGUCAACGGCGGGCGCCGAGUGGACUCGAGGUAGGCGGUCGCGGCCGCGAAAUCUCGGCGGCGCUCGGCCUUGUCCGCUAGCGCGAGGAGCCCCUCCACGAAAUCACGAUGCUGGUGCGCGUCUUCCCUCAGAUCCAGUCAGAGGAUGGCAGCUUGUGCAGGUUCUUCCAUCCUCAUCCUCUCCUUCCGUUUCUCAUUGCAAAUCCGUGCGGCGCUUGUCCCACGGUGAGUUGAGAAAAUUGAUCCGUGCAUCCAGUCCUAAAGCCUAUAGCCUCGUCCCAUUAUCUGUACUUGUAACUAAUUUUACCACCUGGUGAUGGUUCUUGCCGAGGCCAAGGUAUCUACAAAUGUGAUGGUUCUUGCUGACGCCAGGAGCUGGAGCACCAGGCGCUCAUAUACAAGUACCUCUCGUGGAGAUUAAACAGAGGCUUGCGAGCAACCAAAGCCCAUGGCCAAACCACUCCUGCAUUGCUGGUAUAGUGUUCGAUGAAAUGUCCCUUGCAUGGGGCUCUCGGUCAGCAACAAGCAGCAAUCUAACAGGCCAUGAGGGGCUCAAGAAAUAUUUUGCUCUAGGUCAGCUUCAAAAUCAACAAAGUUAAGCGAUAUGGUGGUCUGUUAGAUUUGGGGGAACUUCAUCUUUUGCAGGAACCAAACUUUGCCGCUGCAGCUUCAUAUUUUGUUGGUUUGUUAGCUUUUGGUCGAACUUCAACCAAAUUUUGGUGCUGCUGGUUCAGAUUCUUGCUAAAACCUAUUUUUUGUUGUUUCUUGUCAAUUAUGUGGUCUUGGAAUGUUACUGUUAGUUCUCAUAGAUGGAAAAACUCUAUGUAAUGCAAAUCUUAUUCUGUUA